rnacentral:rRNA from 1 species
GAGGAGGGGAAGCCUGAAUCCAGCCAUGCCGCGGUGGAGUGAUGAAGGCCUUCGGGUUGUAAAGCUCUUUAGGGGAAGAAGGUGACCGCUGCCUAAUAGCAAGAACUCCUUGCUAUUUCCCUGCCAAAAACGCGGAAACGCCUGUGGCCACCAGCCCGGGGUGAUACGGA